AGCGUAGACGGUGUGGCAAGUCUGAUGUGAAAGGCAUGGGCUCAACCUGUGGACUGCAUUGGAAACUGUCAUACUUGAGUGCCGGAGGGGUAAGCGGAAUUCCUAGUGUAGCGGUGAAACGCGUAGAUAUUAGGAGGAACACCAGUGGCGAAGGCGGCUUACUGGACGGUAACUGACGUUGAGGCUCGAAAGCGUGGGGAGCAAACGA
rnacentral:rRNA from 1 species